UACCUGGCGGAUGCCUUCCAUGCAAGUCGAACGGCAGCAUGAUCUAGCUUGCUAGAUUGAUGGCGAGUGGCGAACGGGUGAGUAAUACAUCGGAACGUGCCCUGUAGUGGGGGAUAACUAGUCGAAAGAUUAGCUAAUACCGCAUACGACCUGAGGGUGAAAGUGGGGGACCGCAAGGCCUCAUGCUAUAGGAGCGGCCGAUGUCUGAUUAGCUAGUUGGUGGGGUAAAGGCCCACCAAGGCGACGAUCAGUAGCUGGUCUGAGAGGACGAUCAGCCACACUGGGACUGAGACACGGCCCAGACUCCUACGGGAGGCAGCAGUGGGGAAUUUUGGACAAUGGGCGAAAGCCUGAUCCAGCAAUGCCGCGUGUGUGAAGAAGGCCUUCGGGUUGUAAAGCACUUUUGUCCGGAAAGAAAUGGCUCUGGUUAAUACCUGGGGUCGAUGACGGUACCGGAAGAAUAAGGACCGGCUAACUACGUGCCAGCAGCCGCGGUAAUACGUAGGGUCCAAGCGUUAAUCGGAAUUUACUGGGCGUAAAGCGUGCGCAGGCGGUUGUGCAAGACCGAUGUGAAAUCCCCGAGCUUAACUUGGGAAUUGCAUUGGUGACUGCACGGCUAGAGUGUGUCAGAGGGGGGUAGAAUUCCACGUGUAGCAGUGAAAUGCGUAGAGAUGUGGAGGAAUCCCGAUGGCGAAGGCAGCCCCCUGGGAUAACACUGACGCUCUGCCACGAAAGCGUGGGGAGCCAACAGGAUUAGAUACCCUGGUAGUCCCGCCCUAACGAUGUCCACUAGUUGUUGGGG
rnacentral:rRNA from 1 species